rnacentral:rRNA from 1 species
GCUUACGCCAUACCACCCUGAACACGCCCGAUCUCGUCGAUCUCGAAGCUAAGCAGGGUCGGCCUGGUUAGUACUUGGAUGGGAGACCGCCGGAAUACCAGGUGCUGUAAGUU